rnacentral:rRNA from 1 species
GAUGAACGCUAGCUACAGGCUUAACACAUGCAAGUCGAGGGGCAGCAUGGUCUUAGCUUGCUAAGGCCGAUGGCGACCGGCGCACGGGUGAGUAACACGUAUCCAACCUGCCGUCUACUCUUGGACAGCCUUCUGAAAGGAAGAUUAAUACAAGAUGGCAUCAUGAGUCCGCAUGUUCACAUGAUUAAAGGUAUUCCGGUAGACGAUGGGGAUGCGUUCCAUUAGAUAGUAGGCGGGGUAACGGCCCACCUAGUCUUCGAUGGAUAGGGGUUCUGAGAGGAAGGUCCCCCACAUUGGAACUGAGACACGGUCCAAACUCCUACGGGAGGCAGCAGUGAGGAAUAUUGGUCAAUGGGCGAGAGCCUGAACCAGCCAAGCAGCGUGAAGGAUGACUGCCCUAUGGGUUGUAAACUUCUUUUAUAAAGGAAUAAAGUCGGGUAUGCAUACCCGUUUGCAUGUACUUUAUGAAUAAGGAUCGGCUAACUCCGUGCCAGCAGCCGCGGUAAUACGGAGGAUCCGAGCGUUAUCCGGAUUUAUUGGGUUUAAAGGGAGCGUAGAUGGAUGUUUAAGUCAGUUGUGAAAGUUUGCGGCUCAACCGUAAAAUUGCAGUUGAUACUGGAUAUCUUGAGUGCAGUUGAGGCAGGCGGAAUUCGUGGUGUAGCGGUGAAAUGCUUAGAUAUCACGAAGAACUCCGAUUGCGAAGGCAGCCUGCUAAGCUGCAACUGACAUUGAGGCUCGAAAGUGUGGGUAUCAAACAGGAUUAGAUACCCUGGUAGUCCACACGGUAAACGAUGAAUACUCGCUGUUUGCGAUAUACAGCAAGCGGCCAAGCGAAAGCGUUAAGUAUUCCACCUGGGGAGUACGCCGGCAACGGUGAAACUCAAAGGAAUUGACGGGGGCCCGCACAAGCGGAGGAACAUGUGGUUUAAUUCGAUGAUACGCGAGGAACCUUACCCGGGCUUAAAUUGCAGAUGAAUUACGGUGAAAGCCGUAAGCCGCAAGGCAUCUGUGAAGGUGCUGCAUGGUUGUCGUCAGCUCGUGCCGUGAGGUGUCGGCUUAAGUGCCAUAACGAGCGCAACCCUUGUUGUCAGUUACUAACAGGUUCCGCUGAGGACUCUGACAAGACUGCCAUCGUAAGAUGUGAGGAAGGUGGGGAUGACGUCAAAUCAGCACGGCCCUUACGUCCGGGGCUACACACGUGUUACAAUGGGGGGUACAGAGGGCCGCUACCACGCGAGUGGAUGCCAAUCCCAAAAACCUCUCUCAGUUCGGACUGGAGUCUGCAACCCGACUCCACGAAGCUGGAUUCGCUAGUAAUCGCGCAUCAGCCACGGCGCGGUGAAUACGUUCCCGGGCCU